GUGAAAGAGAGCAUGCACAUCACGUUAACAUCGGACGACACCAGAGCGAGAAGCUGCCAUUUUCUCAGCGUCUUCAGAUGAAAGCGAGUGAAAGACGGUUUAUGAUGUUGAAAGCCAGAGGCAUAGGAGAGCAUCAUUCUUUUGGGAUUGAUAACUCAAACCAACUUUGGAGUUGUCUGAUUUGGAGAGUCAUCAUUCUUGGUCUUCCUUUCUUAAAGGAAUAGCUCACACAAAAAAAUCAUUUACUUGCCCUCACAUCAUUCCAAACCUAAAAGACUUUUGUCUAUCUUUAGAAUACAAAUGAAUAUAUUUUUAAUUUUCUCUCAUAAUUUUUUGUGAAUCCAUUGAGAGUCUAGAUAAUCAGUAUUUUCAAGCUUCAAAAUCACAGAGUUAUUGUAGAAGUAAUCCAUGCCAAUAUUUAUAUAUGAAUAAAUACGAACAUGUCUGUUCAGAAGAAAAUAUUGGUCUCCCAGACUAGCAAUGGAGGACAAAAAUUAAGAGAAUAUUAAAUAUGUUUAUUUGUGUUCCAAAAAUUAGCAGAGUUUGUAUGGGUCUGGAACAACAUGGGGAGAAUAAAUUAUGACCAUUUUUAUUUUUUGUUGAACUAACCCUUUAAAGAGCAGCCCUCCACAUACAUGAAAAUUUGUGAGGCCACUGAUGAAGAGCAGGCGGUGACUAGGAUGAAUGCUGGUCAAAGAAGAGAAUGUCCUUUCCCCUAAACUGAUGCAGCAGUG
ensembl:lncRNA